rnacentral:lncRNA from 1 species
GUCCUUCUCUGCAUAGAAUUUGGGAGCUCAUCUAGCUAACCACUGGGGAUGGCCAAAAACAACAAAUCAGAUAGAAGAGGCAAAGGACUGGAUGGAUCACAAAGAUAUGUCACAGUCCAGGUUUACUUGGUUCCCCCACCAGCUAUGUGGCCUGCUUGACCAUUCUUGAAAUAACAGACUCCUGGAUAUAAAUUUGUCUACUGGUGCAGUGUGAAGUCAUUCAUGGGGCCACAUGGACCUUGUCUAGUCACAUUCCAGGCCAUUUUUGGAACAUUUUGGGGAAACGCAUCAUCGCUCUGCUGGUGGGAGACAAGUCUGUGUCUCUGCCUGAGGCUGGCAGCCAAUGCAUCUACGCCCUUGACUGCACAUGAAAACAUCUCCUGCCAUCUCUGCCAGGCAUCCCACUACACACACACAGAAGAGGGGAGCAGAAUUAAAUGCUCAUCCAAAAAAAAAAAAUCAGGGAGAAAACAACCACCUCCUAAAUGUGUAUCUCUCUGGAAAACAAGGAAAGAAAGUUAUUUGGAUACAGCCUUCUCAGAACUAAUUUUUAGAUCUCCUGGACUAUUCACUGAAGGUCACCCACUCAGUGCUUUGUGA